ensembl:lncRNA
GGAACUCUCUCGUCAAAGAUGGGUGAUGGGUGUCCCAACUCAAGGAGAAAGGGAGAGCCCCCCUAAAAUGGUGAAGGCAGAUCUUAUAUUUACUCAUGUGUUGAUUCAAAUGCUAAACUCUUCAAGAAACACACUCACAGACACAACAAGAAAUAAUGCUUUACCAGCUAUCACAGGAUCCUUUAAGCCAGUCAAAUUGACACUAAGAUCAAUCAUCACACAGGUGCCAAAGCUUUCAAUCUUAGAGCCUCUGCUGUGUUCUCAUUGUAAGAAUGUGCACCCCACCCAUUUAACAGCUUGUUUAUGUUUUUCUUUAAAAUGCCUGUGUCAAUGACUCGCUUCUCUCUUGAGAUCCAGAGAGGGCGUGGCAGCUUCCAGGAAACUCCUAGCUGUGUGCAGCACACUGGUCUUCCACUACACUGAUUUGCUGGCUUGCCUUGAACUCAUGGCAGUCCUCCUGCUCCAGCCCCCAAAGUGCUGGGAUUACAGGUGUGCACCACCACCUCCAGCAAUCUCCAAUUUUUAGAUGAAGAAAUUGAAGCACAAAAAAGGAUGGCCUGUAGGAAGAAGCACAAUUUGCAAGUGAAAAAAGGUGGCCUAUGCACAGAUGACAAGUUCAACUUGCAGGCUCCAUCAAGAACAAUGGAAAACACUCUGCAUAUCCCAUUAACCCCACCAUUAUGCUGUACCCUUUAAAAUUGAAAACAAGUUGACACUGAUAAUCUAAGAAAAAAACAACUCAUCUUCUAUUGCAAUACUAUUUGGCUGCAGUAUGAACCAUGAAAUGGUGGGAGAUGGUAUAGAAUUGUUCUCUAAAUUAAAAUACUAUUCUUCAGUUAAAUCUUUUCUGCAAAAGGCAAGGGAAGUGGUCUGAAAUCCCUUAUGUUCAGGAUUUUAUGGUACUUUAUUAGAACCAUCCCCCUUCCAAAGCUCAAGAGAUGUAGAACUUAAAGUAGAUCCUGAAGAGGAGAUUGAUAUCAUUGAUGAUCCCCUUCUCACACCCUUACCUGUCUCUCAGGGAAAUAUGGGUCUCCCCUACAUGUUUAAUAAAAGAAACCACACUAGAAGUUCUCCUCAACCUCCUCUUUAUAAUCUUCAGGCCAGUAAAUCAGUCCCGCCCUCUCCAAGUGACAGAAACUCCAUCAGUGGCUAGUCUUCAGAGAGACCCAGUAUUCCACAGCCCCCUCUCUGUGCCCUUUAGACAGCCUUAAACCCCACAGGACAUAAUUAGAGUGGAGUUUCCUACUCUUCAAACUCACAUGUCAUCCUGGCCCUAAGAGAGGUCCCAAGAGUAGGACUUAAGGAACCUAGAGCUUAUACAGUAGACCAUUCUAAAGUAUGCAUAUGAUAUUCUAAUUGAUAGGUCUCCCACCACCUCAGCAGCUAUUAAGUAUAGUAGCUGCCCUCUUCCUAUGGUGCCUUGCCCCCUCCCCUGUGUGACAUCAUGCCAAGAUGGUUGCUCCCACCAAAGAACAAACCCUUCUUCCCAGCAUGCCCCUGUUCCAACCUAGACAGUAACCUAAUACUUGCUCACCUCCUACCACCUAGUGACAUCACCGGCUCCUCCAUUCCCUAGUCACUACCUCACUCAACCCCGCCUCAGCCCCUACAAGCCCCACCCCAGUCUCUAUAAAAGACUCUCCCUGCCCCAGCCAUAUUGCUUUUGUCUCUCCUUUGUUCAGAGACAGCCCGGCAGAUCUAUUCCCCUAAUAAAGGCUUGUUGUGGCCUGGUCUGGUCUUGGUCUUCGGCCCUUUUACCUGACACUAAUAUGCAGCCAAUCUUGGGAGAUAUCCAACCACAAUACUAUCCAAACUAUCUAGCUAAAGG